ACACCGAUUGGAUUAGUUGGUUGAUACUAUUAAAUUCUCUAUCGGAGGAAAUAAAUAGUUUGCCAACUUGUGCUCAUAUAGAACCAUAGCCGUGUUAUAUUAAUUGUUGGAAAGAUUUCAAGCUAUUUACUUUCUUUUUAACAUUCUUUCAGAUCUUUCGACUUCUCUUGCUUUUCUUGUGUUUUUCUUUUCUUUUUAUUUGUGUUUAUCUUCUCUUGUUGUUUCAACCCUUUCUGGGAUUGUUUGAGAUGGAAGGAGGUGAUUUGAGAUGCUGGGAUGAACUAGUACCAGAUGCACUUGGGUUAAUCUUUAUCAAACUACCUCUGCAGGAUAUUCUGACUGUGAUUCCUAGAGUUUGUAAAUCAUGGGGAGAAGCCGUCGCUGAAUUACAAUACACCUCCAGGGCCGAUUAUAUAUUCAUAAUGUACGUUAGCUAAGAGGAGAGGUGUAAAACGUGCCGGCCCGGCACAGCCCAGCCCACGAAGUCACAUGCUCAUUGUGCUACAUGUUGUGUUGGGUUGUGCUAGAGAUUCAGACAUGUUGUGUUAUGUCAUACUAAAUGGCGUGAUGUGCUGGGCUGUGCCAGAAAAAUAAUCGUGUUGUGCCGUACUGGGCUGUGCUUGCCCACUUAUUUUAUGUUUUCUAAAGUAAAUAUUUUUCCAAUAUUUUAGUUCGUAUAUGUAUUAUUAUAGAAAUUCAUCAGCAUGACGAAAAUAAAAUAUCAAAAACUGACUAAAAUAAAGAUUUUUUUUUUAUGAAA